rnacentral:rRNA from 1 species
CCUGGUAGUCCACGCCGUAAACGAUGAGYGCUAAGUGUUAGAGGGUUUCCGCCCUUUAGUGCUGAAGUUAACGCAUUAAGCACUCCGCCUGGGGAGUACGGCCGCAAGGCUGAAACUCAAAGGAAUUGACGGGGGCCCGCACAAGCGGUGGAGCAUGUGGUUUAAUUCGAAGYAACGCGAAGAACCUUACCAGGUCUUGACAUCCUCUGAAAACCCUARAGAUAGGGYUUCUCCUUCGGGAGCAGAKUGACAGGKGGUGCAUGGUUGUCGUCAGCUCGUGUCGUGAGAUGUUGGGUUAAGUCCCGCAACGAGCGCAACCCUUGAUCUUAGUUGCCAUCAUUAAGUUGGGCACUCUAAGGUGACUGCCGGUGACAAACCGGAGGAAGGUGGGGAUGACGUCAAAUCAUCAUGCCCCUUAUGACCUGGGCUACACACGUGCUACAAUGGACGGUACAAAGAGCUGCAAGACCGCGAGGUGGAGCUAAUCUCAUAAAACCGUUCUCAGUUCGGAUUGUAGGCUGCAACUCGCCUACAUGAAGCUGGAAUCGCUAGUAAUCGCGGAUCAGCAUGCCGCGGUGAAUACKUUCCCGGGCCUUGUACACACCGCCCGUCACACCACG